CAGACUGUCAUGGCUGACUGUCUGUGGUUGGUGUUAGUAUGUUAAAGCAAUGAGCUUUCUGAGCUUCUGUCCUUCGAGUUUCAACUCUGUCAUGUCAUGGGCAGUGCUUUGUGUUGCGACUAUUAACCUGGAGAACACGAAGACUUCGUCACAUGCAAUUGUGCUGGGUCCAAUACAUUUUCUAUGAAAAACAGCUUAAAGUAGCUGAAAAGUCCUCGGCCAUUUGCCUUUAGCUCCAACCAAUUUUCCGUCACUCGGACCAUCUCGUACCUUGAAGAUGCAAAAGAAUUAUAAGUUGAAGUUGGCUGACAGAUAAUCUUAAACAACGCCUCCUUCGAGCGGCCCGGACAAUCAUUUAGGGUUACCACUCCAUCGAGGCUUAAACGAGGAUGACGCGGAGGUGUUGCCCUUUGAGGGGUUUUGGUGACAAGGAGUCACUGAAAGAAACGCUAAACCAAAUGAAAAAAAAAUAUUAAAAAAGACCCAUCCCCAGCAACGACAACCUGCAGAAAGAAAAA